UGUGGGGAAAAUGGCUCUCCAAGGAGCAUUUCAUCCACACUUUGCAUUCCAAAAGCAAAAUUGAACAUGGAACAAGGAACAAAUCAUGACGACUCUACAGAAAUUCAAGCUGUUAGCUACACAGUGUGCAGUUGCCGGAAGCCCAACAAGGAGUCCAACUACAAGCCCAGUAAUCCACCUCCGCCGGAGAAGAAGCACUCUCCGUAUGCUGCUCAGCCGCGGCGGAAGAAGGCUGCCGCCGCUCCGUGAAGUUGAUCUCCGGGCAGGCGGCCGCGGGGCGACGGAAAAUCGUCGGAAAGGGGGAAGGAAAUUGUUGUUAGACAUAAACUGAAGGAUUUGUUUGUUUCGUCACCUCCGACGUUCAAAGAGAAAGUUUCGGAGAAUAUAAGAGAAGGGCUGUUACCAACUGCGGGCGUCGGUGGGGCACGUUCCGGACGGCCGUUAUCAGCUAUGUUCCGGCACCGGUUGCUUAGGAGAGCUUGGCGGCCGGUUCUCGUCGGCAUACCCGAGUGAUGUGAUUAAUCUGACCUUUAAUAGUAAAAUAAUUAUUUUUAGUCUUAAAUUUUUGCUUUUCAUUAUUUUAGGUAAUUUUGGCUUCUGCUUUUUUAAGAUUAUGAAGGUAGAAGAACUAUGUCGUUAUCGUCAAAUUUCGUAUUAAAAAAAAAAUGUUAUCUCUAUGUUAAACUCAUAAUUCUUGUCUAUCGCCGUUAAGUCUCUAUGUUACCCUUAAUUUUAGAAUAAUUCCAUAGGUACGGGGAAUUAUUGACAGAAAUGAUAUAGGUGUUGUGUUGACAGUAUUUGUAUGGUGUAAUUUCUGUGUUUG